rnacentral:rRNA from 1 species
CCUACGUGUGGCAGCAGUGAGGAAUAUUGGUCAAUGGACGGAAGUCUGACCCAGCCAUGCCGCGUGCAUGAAGACGGCUCUCUGAGUUGUAAGCUGCUUUUGUACUGGGGUAAACCUUGAUACGUGUCUUCCGCUACACGUACUUUACGAAUAAGGAUCGGCGAACUCCGUUCCAGCAGCCGCGGUAAUACGGAGGAUCCACGCGUUAUCCGGAUUUAUUGGGUUGAAGGGGAGCGUAGGUGGGUUGUUAAGUCAGUUGUGAACGUUUGCGGCUUAACCGUAAAAGUGCAGUUGAAACUGGCAGGCUUGAGUACAGUAGAGGUGAGUGGAAUUCGUGGUGUAGCGGUGAAAUGCGUAGAUAUCACGAAGAACUCCGAUUGCGAAGGCAGUUCACUGGACUGUAACUGACACUGAGGCUCGAAAGUGUGGGUAUCAAACAGGAUUAGAUACCCCGGUAGUC